UCAAAGGCAGUAAUGACUUGUGAAGUGUGUUUUCGUAACCGUGUAAAAUGAGUGGUGGUAACAUUUGUAGCAUAGCUAUAUGUAAAAGCAACUCCAAAAUUCCUGAACCAGAUGGAAACAAAAUAAUGCUUUUGGACAUUUCCCAAAUACCUUAACAUUAUCAAACAAUAAUGGAUAAUAAAAUGUUACAAGAUAAAUGGGCCUCUAAACAUAAGAAAAUAGGUAACAAACAUUUCCUCGUGUCUGAAUAUGUUAAUAUUAUGUUAUGUCUUUUUUAUAUUUUAACCUAAUAAUAAAUUAUUUAUAUUA